AUUGGAGACCCAGGGGGACAAUAGGACACCUAGGGAUAUGACAGGAGACCAAGGGACACAAUAGGACACCCAGGUACAGCAUAGGAGACCUAGAGACACAAUAGGAUACCUAGGGACAUGACAGGAGACCCAGGGA